CAUCCCAGACCCAGGCAACCACCCAGAGGCUUUCUUUCCCUCCGGCUGACUUUGUCAUUUCCAGACUCCUUUAAAAAUAGAAUUGUACAAUAUGCACUCCUGCGUCUGCUUUUCUUCCUCAAUGCCAUGUUCUGAGGUCCAUCCUGUGGCAGUGUUAUCGCUGUCUGUCCUUUUUUAUUGUUACAAUGACGUGUGGAUAUAUACCAGUUCUGUCCCUCUACCUGUUGAUGGGCACGUGGGCAGUUUCCAGCUUGGAGCUGUGAUGAGCGGUGCUGCUGGGAACAUUCAUGGGCAAGCCGUGUCUGGACAUAGCUUUCAUUUCUCUCGGGUAAACACCCAGAAGCGGAAUUGUUGUGCUAUCUGUCACGUGAGUGUUUAACUGUAUGCAACAACAUCAAACUGUCUUCCAAAGUGUGUAUUUCCAUGUGUAUAGUUCCACCAGCGAAAGUCGUUUGUAAACAGCAUGUUAAAUUUUCAAAUACUUUGCUAGAUGUCCUCAGGUGCUACAGAGGGUCCAGAACGUCUCGGAAAGCGAUUAUUUAUUGCACUUUUUUUUCACACUAACGAUUGGACACAUUGUUUCAAGUUUACAGGUAUUUCAGGAGAAAAAGCAUCUAGAGGUUGAAGAUUGGAAAUGUAACUAACAAUGGUUUAAAGAUGCCUUUGUGACAACCCUCCUUUCAUGUCCUUUGAUGUUUGUUGGAUCAAACUGGAAGGGAUGCAGGAGGUCGUGAAGCCAACCGUAGGUGACGCCCACAGCACCCAGGAGCUCUGCCCUGGCCUCCCGAUUUUCAGCCUGCGCAAAGAUGACUAAUUUAGCAAAUAUUUUUAAAAGACGGCUCGCAAGUUGGAAUGUAAAUUGACAGGCGGCUUUUUAAAGCAAUUGGGAAAUACUUGCCGAGAGUAGAAAUGCCUGUGCUUCUGCACAGGAGACCCACGUGUAGGAGCCGCUAAGAACACCGUGUGGAUGAACGUAUAUGCACAAGCCUGUCCUUUAGCAUCUGUAUCGCAAGGAAAAACUAGAACCAGGUGCCCACCAUCUAGGAGAACCAUUCAGUCAACUCUGGUAUGCAGAUCAGAUAGAAUUUGAGGCCGCUUUCAGAAGUGAGUCUUUUUAUAAAUUCCAGCAAACGAUGGACAGCACACAAGGAUUACCCAUGAUACUCUGGGUGGUAGGGCUGGCUGGGAUUCUUGUUUCUUUCUAUUUAAAAA